AAUUUCUUUGCAGAAUCACAAAGAAUGGAACUUCAAAGAAGUAAAAGUUACCCUGAUUUUUCAAAAGCAGAAAGAGGAAAAUUUCAGAAACUAAAGACUGCAUAAUUUUGAAGGCUUGUUCGACAUCUCUUCCCCCCGAAAAUUGCUUUCAGACUGGAGGAACAUCUUUUAAUGAUAUGCACCACAGGACUCAGCAUCUGACACUGCUGUCACUAUUAUACCAUAGGUGAAGACAUAUGCACCAGGCAGGUUAAAUUUAAAGAUUCUCUGCCUGGCCUCGUGGAAAUAGACUUAUUCUUCUCCAGGGAGAUGUCCAAGUAUGAAGAAAGGUCUGGACAGUUCAAGCAGAGUGGCUGGGUAAAGAUCCAGGGAGUAAAGUGCCUGUGAAUAAUGGAAGAAAACAUUCAAAUAAGCAGAGCAGAAGGCAAGAGCACAGCCAAGGCGAGCAGGGACAAAAACCUGAAUGAGAGGUCCUGUACUUAGGGAGGUAAAUGAACUGAAAUUGAUCACACAGUGUCUCCUCCAAGAAGCUGGAAGCUUGUUAUAAUUGUUCAUGAAAAAUAAUUCUAUGAGUGUUUCCCCUUAAGGUAAGCUCUAUGUCUUCAGAAGACCUCAGGAGAAGAAAGGGAAGUAGGAUGUUAACAGAAAACAAUAAAAUAAGAUAAGAAAAUUAUCUGGUGGAUGACGGCACAUUUUGAAAAGAGCUUUUCACAUAAGGUGGGCAUGACUCUGGUUAAGCCAAGCUCCUUCCUCUAUGCAUUCAUCAGUUUGAGGUUGUGAUUUUCUUCAUGCAAACACCCAGCACAACUUGGAGCAUGUAUAAAUCUGCCUCAUCCCCCUAACACUGUUAAAACUCAAGCCAGAGUAUUAUACCUGUUGAGAUAAGCAGAGUUGAAACAAGGAUAGGAUACCCAGAAGAGCAAGUCUAUUCAAGGAAGUCCCUCCCCUCCCCUCCCCUCUCUUUUCUUUUCUUUCUCUUUCUUUCUCUCUCUCUUUCUUUCUUUCUUUCUCUUUCUUUCUUUCUGUCUUCUUUCACUCUUUCGUUCUUUCUCUCUUUCUCUCAUCUUUCUUUCACAGGGUCUUGCUCUGUCACCCAGGCUGGAGUGCAGUGGCAUGUUCAUGGCUCACUGCAGCCUUGACUUCCUGAGUUCAAGUGAUCCUCCCACCUCAGUGUCCCAAGUAGCUGGCACUACAGGCACGCACUACUAUGCCCAACUAAUUUAUUUUGUGGAGAUGGGUCUUGCUAUGUUGUCAAGGCUGGUCUUGAACUCCUUGACUCAAGCAAUCCUCCUGCCUCAGCCUCCCAAAGUGCUGGAAUUACAGGCAUGAGCCACCAUGUACAGCCCUUCACUGAAGUCUUCAUAGUCUGAAGGCAGUGGUUUCAGACUGGAGAAUAGAAAACUGAGGAGAGCUAAAUGGACACUAGAAAAGGUACGUGGAAUAAAAAAGUUUCUUGGUAGUAAGCCAAGAAGUUAAUGGUUUUCAAAAUGCUUAGAGGAUUUGUAGGUGGGAACUGGAUGAUUGACAUCUCCACAGACACUUAAAUAUGGCCAUGACAUAUUAGCAUAAAUUUUUACCAUGAAUAGAUUGUAGGUAAGACAUGCAACAACUAGAUAAUGGUUAAAGGUGGAAGAAAACAGAAUGUACCACUGAAUGGGUUGGCAGUAGAGAAAGGCUUUGGAAGACACACCCUAUCCUUGCCAUGUGACUCACCAGAACUGACAUGAGAAGAUGAGGAGGGUGCUAGGUCAGUUUGGGAAAGUUUUUAGGAGUGCUAAAGAAAUGCCCCUUUUUUGUUUCAACCAGCCUGGCCUCCUUAUAAGACUCCCCACUCCUCCCCUUGUCCCCUCCUCUUCCCCAUGCCUGGCCCCUCCCCCUACUCUCUACUUCCCUAUGACAAUGUCCUGAUGGGGUUUUGUGAUGUCUAAGCCCCUCCCUGCAGGCCUACCAUUGGCUGGGUAAUGGCUUGCUGGCCAAUCAAAGCUUAGGGGUGUGGCUCCUCAUUGUCCUGGAAGGGUUAUAUAUAGGGAGGCCAGGUGACCCGGAGAAGACAGUUGAGAGAUGCUGAUGUGGUGAAGAUGGCCAGUAAAGCACAAGCCUCCAACUUAGUUGUUGAGGGACAACCACCCACAACACCAAAGAGGCGAAGAAGAGGAAGGCCCCCUCUCAACCAAGAUUCAGAAGCCCUCUGAAGAUGAGUGGCGCACCCAGGCUCCUCCUUGUCUUCCCCUUGAUUCCUCCCUGCCUUCCCCUCUACUCCUCCCUCCCAAGACGCCUUACCCUGUCCUCGCCUGGCACAACCCCCACCUCAGCCUGUACCCUUCUCAUUAUGCCCCUGUUCCCACCCCUCCCCAUCCUCUUCCCCCAAACCAAUGCCUUUCUGUGAUCUCCCUGUUGUCCUUCCAGAUUCCCAAGACAACCCGGAAGGGAAAAGAGAGUCUUUGAGAGAGUUCCAGGAAAAAAGCCACUCCUGAAAGACCGCCGCUUCAAGAAAACCUGAGGAAGGGAGAGGGCCAACGCUAUCCAGCCACUCUGACCAGCUGAACGAGGAACUCAAUCAAAAGGAGCCACAGCAGGACCAGGAAAGUGAGGAGACUUCCACCAUCUCCAGCGUCUCCCUGGACAGCCAGUAAUUUCAGGGCAAGUUCAGAGGACUAGAUCUAUCUGAGAGGUCUCCAUAAGUCUAACCCCAGAGAAAUAGCCAAAAGGGUCUAUGGUACAUUUUACACACCACAGGGUACCCCUCAUGGUGAUGAAAAUAAAAUGAACCUGUUGUAAAA